UACGUAGGGUCCGAGCGUUGUCCGGAAUUACUGGGCGUAAAGAGCUCGUAGGUGGUUUGUCGCGUUGUUCGUGAAAACUCACAGCUCAACUGUGGGCGUGCGGGCGAUACGGGCAGACUGGAGUACUGCAGGGGAGACUGGAAUUCCUGGUGUAGCGGUGAAAUGCGUAGAUAUCUGGAGGAACACCGGUGGCGAAGGCGGCAUCCUGGACCGAUACUGACGCUGAGGAGCGAAAGCCAGGGGAGCAAACGGG
rnacentral:rRNA from 1 species